UUAGCUUAAUGGAAACCAUACCAGAUAAAUUUCAGGUGGUCUUGAGUUCAAUUCUUUGAAGCGUCCUAAUAGUUAAUUAAUACAUAUUUAAGCUUAAACCCGCCAAUCAUGAUACUUAUGUAUGCUCAUGGAUCAUCACCCUUAUAUGUAUUGAAGGUUUGCUCGGUCCAUGUGGAGGGGGCAUUUGUAUGAACCUAAGGUGGAGAGCAAGAAUUACACAUGUUCACUAGUCGGCUCUAAAGGCUGGACACCACCCCGAUAUUUAAAAAAAAAAAAAAAAAAAAAAAAAAAACCUUUGCAUGGUUGAACUGGAUUUGAACCGCUCCCACCUCCUCUUCCCUCUACCUUGUACCUAUAGAUUAAAAAGAAGAAAAAAAAG
rnacentral:lncRNA from 1 species